CGACGGGAGCUUGCUCCCUUAGGUCAGCGGCGGACGGGUGAGUAACACGUGGGUAACCUGCCUGUAAGACUGGGAUAACUCCGGGAAACCGGGGCUAAUACCGGAUGCUUGAUUGAACCGCAUGGUUCAAACAUAAAAGGUGGCUUUUAGCUACCACUUACAGAUGGACCCGCGGCGCAUUAGCUAGUUGGUGAGGUAACGGCUCACCAAGGCGACGAUGCGUAGCCGACCUGAGAGGGUGAUCGGCCACACUGGGACUGAGACACGGCCCAGACUCCUACGGGAGGCAGCAGUAGGGAAUCUUCCGCAAUGGACGAAAGUCUGACGGAGCAACGCCGCGUGAGUGAUGAAGGUUUUCGGAUCGUAAAACUCUGUUGUUAGGGAAGAACAAGUACCGUUCGAAUAGGGCGGUACCUUGACGGUACCUAACCAGAAAGCCACGGCUAACUACGUGCCA
rnacentral:rRNA from 1 species